AAGUCGUAACAAGGUCUCCGUAGGUGAACCUGCGGAGGGAUCAUUACCGAGUGAGGGCCUCUGGCUCGACCUCCAACCCUUUGUAAUUGAAACCUCGUUGCCUCGGGGGUGACCCGGCCUUCGGGCGGGGGCCCCCGGUGGUCGAUACACAAACUCUGCGUCUCUGCGUCUGAGUCUUAAAGUAAAUUAUUAAAA
rnacentral:misc_RNA from 1 species